ACAACAGGGAUUGCCCUAGUAACGGCGAGUGAAGCGGCAACAGCUCAAAUUUGAAAGCUGGCUCCGGCCCGCAUUGUAAUUUGCAGAGGAUGCUUUUGGUGAGGUGCCUUCCGAGUUCCCUGGAACGGGACGCCACAGAGGGUGAGAGCCCCGUAUGGAUGGACACCAAACCUGUGUAAAGCUCCUUCAACGAGUCGAGUAGUUUGGGAAUGCUGCUCAAAAUGGGAGGUAAAUCUCUUCUAAAGCUAAAUACCGGCCAGAGACCGAUAGCGCACAAGUAGAGUGAUCGAAAGAUGAAAAGCACCUUGAAAAGGGGGUUAAACAGUACGUGAAAUUGUUGAAAGGGAAGCAUUUAUGACCAGACUUGCGCCGGGCAGCUCAUCAGGGGUUCUCCCCUGUGCACUCUGCCCGGCUCAGGCCAGCAUCGGUUCUCGUGGGAGGAUAAGAACGGUAGGAAUGUGGCCCCCUCUCGGGGGGGUGUUAUAGCCUGCCGUACGAUACUCCCGUGGGGACCGAGGUUCGCGCUCCGCAAGGAUGCUGGCGUAAUGGUCAUCAAUGACCCGUCUUGAAACACGGACCAAGGAGUCGUCCAUUAGAGCGAGCGUUUGGGUGUAAAACCCGCACGCGUAAUGAAAGUGAACGCAGGUGAGAGCUUCGGCGCAUCAUCGACCGAUCCUGAUGUUCUCGGAUGGAUUUGAGUAAGAGUUUUAACGGACGGACCCGAAAGACAGUGAACUAUGCUUGUAUAGGGUGAAGCCAGAGGAAACUCUGGUGGAGGCUCGCAGCGGUUCUGACGUGCAAAUCGAUCGUCAAAUAUGAGCAUGGGGGCGAAAGACUAAUCGAACUGUCUAGUAGCUGGUUACCGCGA
rnacentral:rRNA from 1 species